rnacentral:rRNA from 1 species
UACAGAGGUCCCAAGCGUUGUCCGGAAUUACUGGGCGUAAAGAGCUCGUAGGCGGCUUGGCAAGUCGGGUGUGAAACCUCCAGGCUCAACCUGGAGUCGCCACCCGAUACUGCUAUGACUUGAGUCUGGUAGGGGAUCACGGAAUUCCUGGUGUAGCGGUGAAAUGCACAGAUAUCAGGAGGAACACCGGUGGCGAAGGCGGUGAUCUGGGCCAGUACUGACGCUCAAGAGCGAAAGCGUGGGUAGCGAACAGG